UUGAGGGGUCACGUGUAAGUCCUGAUAGAGCCUUGGCAUCCAGAAGUCUGGGCGCCAGGCGCUCACACCACAGGAACGGGGCAAGGGCCCCAAGCUGGCUGCUGCGUCCCUUCGUGGAGGAGUGUUUCCAUUUGUGGAAGUCAGGCCUCAGCCCAGAAGGCCCAAAGCCCACCCCCUCCCUCCCGGGGCGCCAGCUCUGAGGCAAGAGACCAUCCCCUUCCUGGCUUCACUUCCUUCAUCUCGCUUCCCCACCGUGAGCCACCGGCCUCCUGCCCUCUGGCCUCUGCUCCCCGACAUCUGCAUGACUCAAGGCAGGGGCUUGCACUCAGCCUCCAGGAGCAUCGAAGCACGGAGCCCAGAGCCUGCAGACUGCACUCUUCCAGGCCAUGUGAUAGACAAGAAUGCAGUCCAUGAGUGCGAGUGUAAACAGACUAGACGGGGAGUCCAGACUCUGGAGAUGAGCAAGGACAUCACCCUGCUGGCCGCCCUGCAUUGCCUCUAGCCCCUCCGGGUGAGCCUCCCCUCCCACACCGAGGGUCGCCUCCGCCUCUGCCUCCUGCCCGCCUCCCCACCCAGGUGCCCAACCACACCUGUUUGGGGUCUUGGGGCUCCCAGAGCCGGUCUUGCCACACAGAUGGAUACCUCACGAUGGAUCAGGGUAAAGGUACUACUUCUCUGCCACCCAAGGCCCGGCUCAGCCUGCAGAGAUGCAGUAGAGGCUGGUUUCACAUUCGCACAACAUCUGCAGCUGUUUCUCAUCUGGGAGCGGUGACUCAGCUGGGCCAGAGCGGCCAGGCCCCACCCCGCACCCCUCAGCCCCAGUCUGCACCCCCCACCCCAAUCUCCUGGAUGACUUCUCGUUGCCCUCCAAUCCUCUGCUCAGGUGCUGCUUCUUCCCAACACGGCCUCAUGGCCCCUCCACUAAGGCAGGGAGUCGGGCGACGGGGGCCUGCUGGGAACCGUAGGAACCUGCAUCCGUGAUGCUCCAGGAGACACGGCUCCCUCUCCAUCUGCCCCACUGGUCCCCGCAUUCCUCCCUCACAGCCCUGACCCUGCACCAUAAGCCUCCCCAAGGCCGGGUGAGCUUCGAAGAUGGGGAUCCUGCCUCACGCCUGACCUUCUGGAACCCCUGGGGGUGCUGUUCGCACAGUUGAUGCCAAAUAAACAGGCAACAAGGGGUAAAUGCAGAUAAUAGAAUGGCAACGAUGGAAGAUAUCCUAGGUCAGUGGUUCUCAAACAAGGAUGCAGCAGGAGCCGCCGGGGAGCUUGUGAAAAGGCAGAUUCGUGUCUCGGGAGGUCCCACGUGGCCACAGGCUGCUGCUACGGCCCAGCACCUCACCUUGACAGCCCCGCUCUGAUGAUGCUCCGCCCCUGGCCACACGUGUGACGGACACCAAUGAGGAAGGCAUGAGAGUUAAGGAAGCUUCCUAACAUCCUUUCUGUCCGUCUGCCUCCCGUUUUGGGCUCAGUGGCUAUGGUCAGCUCCAGAAAGCUCGGUCACCUCAUGCAGGACAAGGACCCUGCACACAGUCCAGCGUCCUGAUGGCCCCCUUCACCACGGCAGCCACUUCUCAUUGCUGUCCUCCAGGGGGGCGGGUAGGGACAGCCUCCACCUACACUCACCGCCCUCACCUGGAGGAACCGAGAUGGAAGCAGAGGCCCUGAGCCCCCCAGGAUUCAAACUAGAGCCUGGAUCAGCAUCGUGUGUGACUCACAGGCUUCUUCUGGGUGCCGACUGCUUACAGGCCCCAGACCAGGAUUAAGCCCUGGAGAGGGAGGGACAAGGUAAGAAACAUGCUCAGAGAACAUGAGCAUCACCUGGGAAGGGAGGAAGCAAGACGCGACCAGGAAAUUUCUGUUUGACUCCAUAAAGAGGUGAAAUAAAAGGACGCUUUGGACAGCCCAACGUCCAGCGCCACCCGGACACCUCGAGAAACAUCUGGGGUCGGCCCGGCAGUGGCUCAGCCCCUACCUGGUCCCCACCGGCCGCAGGGGUCUGAUUCUUUUGCCGGCUUCUCAGAAGUGCAUAGGCUUCACUCCAAGGUGCCUGUUCCACAUAGGGAUUUAAUAAAAAAGUAUUUUUUUCUUUAAGCCACGAAGGUGAAUUUCCUAUUUCUUGUCUGUUUGAGAAUUCCUAUAUUCCAUUUCUCUUGCUUUCCCCUCCUUUGAGGCACCUGCCAUGGAGAGCUGAUGGAGACGUCUCUGUUGUACGAGGCUGUUACCACGAGGGUGUCCAGCUUCCCUCUGGAGGUGGCCUCCUGGUGACUUGUCUGUCCACCUCUUCCCAAGAAACGGACAUCGCAGGCAGGUUCACAGCCCGGGGUGCUUUUGUUCUAUUCACCCGAGUCCCAACUUGACUGCACAUUCCAAUCUCCUGGGCAGGAUUUUAAGUCUCCACAACCCAGGCCUUAUGCUAUGUGACUUAAACCCACGUUGAUGGGUUUAGCAUUCCUUCUGUACCUUCCCAAGUGGCCACCGCGUGCAGAAGGCCAGAAGCCACUGUUCUUACCCAGUGACAGUCACCAUCCUACAAAUGUGUGCAUUGGGUCCCCACAGGGAUAGGACUUGGGGACCCACAUCACUGAGCAGGAUCCCAUCCCCUCGAUGCACAUGAGGCCAACAGAUCCACACAGCAUUUUCCAGCAGAGCACCAAAGCAGCAUUUGUCUAAACCCAAACAGAAUAGAAAUCCCCUUUAGGAUGCCUGGGUGGCUCAGGGGUUAAGCGUCUGCCUUUGGCUUAGGUCAUGAUCCCGGGGUCCUGGGAUCGAGUUCCGCAUAGGGCUCCCUGCAUGGAGCCUGCUUCU